rnacentral:rRNA from 1 species
AUUGAACGCUGGCGGCAUGCCUAACACAUGCAAGUCGAGCGGAUGAAGGAAGCUUUCUCCUGUCUUCAGCGGCCGACGGGUGAGUAAUUCCUAGGUAUCUACCUUGUCUUUGGGGAUAACGUCCCUUCACGGGCCCUAAUACCGCAUCCGUCCUUAUGUUGAAACUGAUGGAUCUUUGGACCUCGCGCUAUCUGCUGACCCUAGGUCGGAUUAGCUAGUUGGUUGGGUAAAGGCCUACCAAGGCGACGAUCCGUAACUGAUCUGAGAGGAUGAUCAGUCACACUGGAACUGAGACACGGUCCAGACUCCUACGGGAGGCAGCAGUGGGGAAUAUUGGACAAUGGGCGAAAGCCUGAUGCAGCAAUGCCGCGUGUGUGAAGAAGGUCUUCGGAUUGUAAAGCACUGUAAGUAGGGAGGAAGGGAAGUAAGAGAAUACCUGGAUGUCUUGACGUUACCAACAGAAAAAGCAACGGCUAACUUCGUG